rnacentral:ncRNA from 1 species
UCAAAGGCGAUGAUGAAGAGGAGUACGCAGGAGACCCGAUUUUCAGAGAGCUGCCGCAGGGUGAAAGGCAGUAUGAGGGGCUUGCGGAAGUAGCUUCGGAGCUUCGCGUGCCAACGGCUUUUGCUCAGUAGUAUGCGGCGUGAUCCUCACGUUACAGGGGAAGAAGCUCAUCGGCUUCGCAGAGUGCGGGAGAAUUCCCGAAUUCAGGUGGUAACACGGACUUUAGUUCGCCCUGGAC